rnacentral:lncRNA from 1 species
UGUCCACAAGUCAAUCAAAAUUCAAUCUCAAGCGGCUGCUUUAUCCUGUAGAAAGACAGAACAGGAAUGGAAAUUUAGUCAACUUUGGAAAAUCACAGAUAUUCAUAGGAAUUGAGAACAAUUCUGAAAUUUUCACACUUAAAAUAACUAUGAGUCUAGUUUCAAAUGUAACAAAUAGAACUCAAUUUGGGAUUUUCUACAUCAAGAUAUAACAGAUUUCCCCAAACUAGUCAAAGUCUCCUGCAAAAACAAAUUUCAACAGCAUUUUCUUUGUGUUUACCGAUUUUUCCAGCCAUUACCAUGGCAUAACUUCACCAUAAAACAGCCCUAAAUCAAGCACAAAAGUAUAGAAACAAAGGCCUCUUAUUUUAGGCCUUAAAACCAUCUAAAUUAAGUGCAUAUCCAUCAAAUAAUCACCUAUCGAAGCUGGAAAUCAUAACCCUAAGCUGGAAAAUUCCUAUUCUAAGCUGGAAAUUCACAAACAAGAAUAGAAAUCCCUCAAGUAACGCCAAAAUUGCAUGUAUAAGCAGGAAAACCUUUAUGGCAGGUUUACAACUCCAUAGUAAAGCUAGAAAUACUCAACAAAAAUCUGGAAAUAACUAAUAAAAGCUGAAUAUAACAGCCCACAACCUAAAACUACAAGAUCAGCCACAAAACCUUCUAUAAACAGGCCAAAACUCCAACCAAAUGCAAGAUUAAAGAGAUAAAGUAGUUCUCAACCAAGAAUACCUUCAAUCCUCAAGAUGCGUAGCAAAAUACAGCUUGCUUUCUCCCUAAAUAACUCCACUCCAACCCACCUUUCUUCCUUGUGGUAACUUCGUAUGAAUUGGUUUUGGAUUGGAGGUUGAUUUCCUACUAGUUCUAACUUGGAAUCAAAGUGAAAUUGGAUAAGCUUUUCUUUCUUUUCUUUUCUCUAAGGUUUGGCCAUCAUGGAGGAUAAAUGAAUGAAAUUGUGAUCAAUUGGAAGAUAAGGAUGGAAAGAAAGUCUUAGUCAAAGUUGGCUUAAGUGCCAACACUUGGCAUCCCUCAACUUGUCUAUUUUUUUUCUUGUUUUCUUUCUUUUCCUCUUGUUUUUUUUGGUCAAAAAUUUUGGCUGGACUUAGGGUUAAAUUAGGGAAGAUCAUAUGAAAUAAAAACAAGGAGAUUAAGGUAAGAAAAUAUUGGUCAAAUUGUGUACUCAACUGCUAACAAACGGCGCACGUCGGUUCAAGUCUACUUUCUUAACUCUCUUGUAUUUUUGUUUUAACUUAUGAUUCACUAACUUAUCCUCAGCACUUUUAAUCACACACUUCCUCUUAUUUAAUACCCGCUCUUAUCCACCAAAUUUAGUGCACACACCUCACCAAUCGAUCACACUACCAAAAUGCACUAAAACCCUAACUUACUCUAACUUUAAAAGUAAAAGAAAAACUCUUGACUCAACUAAUGAAAUCACCAUGAAAUUUAGGGCUAGUAAAUAGUUAAAUAGUCAAGUAAAGAAAUAUAGAAGGAAAUAUAAAUUAAUGUUUCAAAAAAUGGGAGCAAAUUCUAAAGGAAUUUUCGGGUCCUCGCAGUAAUGGUUUCUUCUAUCAUACUCUCUAGUUUCGUUUCCCAACUUUAGACUGGAGGUUGGUUGUUUUCUUCUAAUAGUGGUGCGUAUAUCUUAUGUAUGUUUUGCUAAGCUUCAUGAGAUAUAUAUAUAUGUAAUUUUCCUCUUUUGAUUUCUUGCACCUUUUGAAUCCAAGUGCUUUCUUUUCAUACUAAUAACUUACUUGAACCAUAGCCUUAGAAUGCACUUGGACCUUCUUCGAUUGGAUUUUAAGUUUGUCUUUGAGUUUUGUGUUUUGAGAGGCCGAAUUUAGAUAGGUGUAUGGCUCAUGAUUAAGGCUAAAGUGAGCACCUUGUCGCGGCCCAUUUUUUAUAAGAAAAAUAAAUGGUUUUAAAAAGUGAAUUUUUUGAUUGAAAAUAUGAUUUUUGAUUUAAAAGAAAAUGGGCCAAAAUGGGGUUUGUAAUGCGACGAUUUGGGCCCAAAUUAUAGUUUAAAAAAGGUUUUUGAAAUAAAAAUCGGAGUCGCCACUUGGUAUUGAGUUAUGGUGUACCAAGUCACCUAAAAGUGAAUUUUUUUUUAAAGAAAAAAUAGAAAAACCAUUUUUAAACGACUCCAAAUCUACGUAAAUCAAAGGAAAAGGUUCGGGAGUCACAUUUGAAGAAAGGGAAGGCAAGGAUAAAAAUCCGAGGCACCCUUUCGACCUAACCAAGGUUAGUUGCGUGAUUUAGUCAAAGAUUUUCUUAUUCUUAACCUAAAAAUUUAUCACAUUUGUAUGUACUAUGUGAAUGCGAACCCUAGACCUAGGAGGGUGUCGAGGGGUCGAAAUUUCUCUUCAAAGCUCAAUUGGUGCUAAUCACAUUAAUUGUGAUGCCCAAUGUGGACUCUUUGGAGAGAUCACGAAUGAUGCAAAAAUAUGAGACUCUAAGAAAAGAAAAGGAAAAUAAAAAUAAUUAUACAAAUAUACGUGGCCUAAAGGAGUGCAUCAUGUCGGGUACGGGGGAUUAUUGUUCGUGACUCAAUUUUCCCUUUUAUAGAGGGAAUACGAGCAUGCUAAGGUUAGAAAGCCAAACUCGUCCAUAUCCCAUAUUCAAGGGGUUACUCCCUAACCUAUGCACACAAAUGAGCUUAGUAACUAGAAUGAAAUGCAAAAAACCUAUGAUCAUACUUCAAAUGUGGGAAAAGGGAGAAGGGUCAUGCAAAAAUGUAAAAAUACUAAAAAGAAAAAAAAAUGCAUGAACAUGAGAUGAAGGCAUGCGAAUGUACUAGCGAGGGACGGUUCUAUUGGAUCUAGCAUUGGACUAGUCCUUCACUAGCGCUCUCUCACAAGCAUUGGACUUGUAAGAGCUCGAGGGGAAGACCAUGACUAGCGUUGGACUAGCCACGGUUUCGUGCAUUUGCAUCCAUCAUACAUACAUAAGGAAAUAUGCAUAAUUAAAGCGAGUAGGCAUGUGAGCACGUAAUUCACAUAACACAUAACACAUAAGCAUGCAUAUCCAGAUGCCAAACCCUAAGAAAGAAAUUAAACACAUAGCACAUACGCAUGCAAAUCACACAAAGAAAAAAUAAAGAAAACCCUAACUAUUACAUUAGGAGGGGGAAGCCUACUACAAUCUAAAAGGAGAAAUAAGAAGGAAUAAAACAAUUAAAUCCCUAACUAUUACAAUUUUGGCAUUCGAGUGCCUCCCAAAAUAAUCAAAAUUAAAUUUAAAAUUAAUACGCAAAAUUAAAACAAAUAAAUAAAUAAAUGAAAUAGAAAUAAAUAAAAAUAAUAAAAAAAUUCAAAAAUCAUGCAAUUACACACAUAAAAUCACAUAGGAGCACAUAGAGAGAUUUAAAAUAACACAACAAGAUACCUCUCUUGACGUAGUAACUAAUUGGGGUGUGGAUUUGCCCUAUUUAACUCCAAAAUUAGCAAAAAUCAUCAAGGCACCAAUUUAAUUAACAAAUAAUUCAUAAAAAUGGAAAUAAUCAUGAAGUCAGUCAAUUGAAGCGUUUAAAUGGAACAUAAUUCAUAAUUAAAGAGGAAAAGCAACUUCUAUUUAAGACAACAAAUCUAUUAGGGACCUAAUUGCAAAAAUUAAGAAAGUUUUAGGGGUUAAUUUGUAAUUAUCAUAAAAGAUUAUGGGUCAAAAUUGAAGAAAAUAAAAGUCCAGGUACCUAUUUGAAAUCAAAUUAGGGACCUAAUCGAAAGAAAAAAAGGUUUUAGGGCCGUAACAUAAUUAAUGAAAAGUAAAGGGACCAUUAUGCAAAACGUUUUCUGGUUCCUUGGUGAAUCAGGCCACUGGGCCACUUUAUAUCUUUACUUGGGCCGAAACUACCUUAGCCCAAGGCAAAAUCCAAGCAAAAUGUACGGGCCAGACCGUAAUCUUACCCCAACAAAUCCAAUCAAAAGGGUAGGCUUUUACCUCCUAAGCCCAAACGGAAAACCCAAGUAAAUUAAACCAAACCCAUUUACUAAACCCAACCAGAUCCUCAACAUUAAUCUGCCCCAAAAGCCCUAAGAAAAUAUUAACCCAAGUCUUAAUCGAUUUUACUAAUCCAAGAAGGUAAUAAAUCUUAAAAAUAAAGUUGGACCUUAAUCAUGCAUUAAAUCCCAAGAUUAAUCUACACAACAAGUCACAUAUCACAAUCAGAAGAAGAUUAAAAUUUUAAAAGGGCAAAAUUAGUUCAAUUGCGAAAGUAUUUGGGCCAUAGUGAAAUUAAUUACAAUUUGGGGUCAAAAUGCAAUUUGAGAAAAAGAACAUGCAGCCUGUACGAAGAAACUUCUUCUUCCUCAGCAUCUUUCCUUCUGCAACUUUCUUUUCACCAUUUCUGGGUUUCAUCUUCACCAAACGCACGAAACAAGUUCCCAAACAAACUAGCUCUUAUAACUUAUGUACUUUAUUUCACAACCCAAUGCUAAACAUAAACAGGAACAGGCCAUAAUCACAAAAAUAAUCUGAAGUCAAACAUGGUAGAAACAUGAAACAAACCCAGCAGCAAAAAAGUUCCAAACCCACGUCCAAAGAGUCUUGUUCUUCAUAAAAUGUGUUAAACCAAGCAAGAAAGAGCGUUAUGGUUACCUGAGGAAACCUUAGAACCAUAUUUGAGCGGGAAAAACAUCGAUGGAAACAGAUCUGACGGAGCUUUACACCAGGUUGCGGGUUGAUCCACGUGUGUUGAAGCUGCAACUUUGGAGCUUCGAUUUGGAUGACUUACGGUCAUCUUUUCCACCGAGUCUCUGAACAAAAGUCGCCCCCCUCACGUCGUAGAUUUAGCAGAAAUCAAAAUUUUCUUAAACCGAGCUUAAAUGGAGGAGAUAUUUGAGUCAAAAGAUGGUUGAAAAUCAGCUCUUUUUGCGAAAAUUUUUC